AGCUCUGACGGAGUGCAAAUCGUAAUCGUUGCUCUGUCAGAGAAAUGAUCGUUAUCUGGCCAGAGACGGUAAAGAAGAUACCAGGCCGCGCCUUGGAGAUGGCGCCAGGAGAGCUACAGUCAUUGAAGAAGCUUAGCUUCAAAAUCUCUCAAAAGAGCCCUGGACUUCUUCUCUCCGGUUCACGGCCACGUCGCUCCUCCUGAUCAUGAGAGGUAUGCUUGCUUAUGGUUUUAGUUCGCUAAUCAGAUCUGCAGUUUUUUGUUUUGCUGUUGG